AAAUUAGCUAUGAUUAUAAAAAAUUCCUCGUUCUGAUUUGCUAUUGCCAUGGCAUGACAGACGCUUUAUACACCCAUAGAAUAUGAGCUUU